rnacentral:rRNA from 1 species
CUGGCUCAGAAUGAACGCUGGCGGCGUGCUUAACACAUGCAAGUCGCACGAGAACGCUUCUGCUUGCAGGGGCUAGUAAAGUGGCGCACGGGUGAGUAACGCGUGGGUAAUCUACCCUUGGAUUCGGGAUAACCCUUCGAAAGGAGUGCUAAUACCGGAUGAAGUCAUUUAGGCUGUGGUUUAGAUGAUGAAAGGUGGCCUCUCCGAGGAAGCUACCGUUUGGGGAUGAGCCCGCGUACCAUUAGC